GAAGCUUUGUUAACAGACAAACUCCAAGGCUUAGAAAAACAGCUCUCCAAACACUCUUCUGGGAUUUCACUGAUGAUGAGCAAGAGGUGUGAACAACAGAAGCAAAAACACAACCAGAAUAAUCUCCAACAAAUCCGAUGAAAAAUGCAACCUGAUCCAAACCAAAGUACCCCGUACUUUCCCCUUCUUCAUUAGCCAAUACAGCUACAAUCUUACUUUGAU
rnacentral:lncRNA from 1 species